rfam:Myotis brandtii contig208368, whole genome shotgun sequence.
GGAUGUGAGGGCGAUCUGGCUUGCGACAUCUGUCACCCCAUUGAACAUCAAGGUUGAUUCGGCUGAUCUGGCUGGCUAGGUGGGUGUCCCCCUCCUCCCUCACCAAUCAAUGUGCUGAGUCCCUCCCGAAGCUGCUUGCUUGGUGGAAGAGGAUGACCUUCCCCCCAGAGGAGAGGACCAGUCUUAGGUCAAGAGUAGCUGUGCUCCCCUGAUAGAACCUCCAAACAGGCUCUCAAAGAGUCAGAAGAAUUGACUCUACCUGAUCUACUUCUACUGUAUGAUGUUCAACAAGUCAUCUAAUCCCUCUAA